rnacentral:rRNA from 1 species
AGAGUUUGAUCCUGGCUCAGAGCGAACGCUGGCGGCGUGCUUAACACAUGCAAGUCGAACGCGCAGUUCCCUGUAGCAAUACAGGGGAUGGGCGCGUGGCGAACGGGUGCGUAACACGUGGAUAACCUUCCUUCAGGUGGGGAAUAACCUCGCGAAAGCGAGGCUAAUACCGCAUAACAUGACGAUGGCUCAUGCUGUUGUCUUCAAAGCCGCAAGGCGCCAGAAGAGGGAUCCGCGGCCGAUUAGCUUGUUGGCGAGGUAAUGGCUCACCAAGGCAAUGAUCGGUAGCCGGUCUGAGAGGACGAUCGGCCACACUGGAACUGAGACACGGUCCAGACUCCUACGGGAGGCAGCAGUGGGGAAUCUUGCGCAAUGGACGAAAGUCUGACGCAGCAACGCCGCGUGGGGGAUGAAGCUUCUCGGAGUG